rnacentral:rRNA from 1 species
GGGGAAUAUUGCACAAUGGGCGCAAGCCUGAUGCAGCCAUGCCGCGUGUGUGAAGAAGGCCUUCGGGUUGUAAAGCACUUUCAGCGGGGAGGAAGGCGAUAAGGUUAAUAACCUUGUCGAUUGACGUUACCCGCAGAAGAAGCACCGGCUAACUCCGUGCCAGCAGCCGCGGUAAUACGGAGGGUGCAAGCGUUAAUCGGAAUUACUGGGCGUAAAGCGCACGCAGGCGGUCUGUCAAGUCGGAUGUGAAAUCCCCGGGCUCAACCUGGGAACUGCAUUCGAAACUGGCAGGCUAGAGUCUUGUAGAGGGGGGUAGAAUUCCAGGUGUAGCGGUGAAAUGCGUAGAGAUCUGGAGGAAUACCGGUGGCGAAGGCGGCCCCCUGGACAAAGACUGACGCUCAGGUGCGAAAGCGUGGGGAGCAAAC